rnacentral:lncRNA from 1 species
CCUCAGAUUACAGCCUGAGGAACUCUUUCCAGGUCCCUUUCACGAGAACACUGUCCCCUCUGACUGCAGUGACUUUUAUCCCCCGCCCCUUCUCCCGCCUCCCUCACCAGGGCGCACACGCUCCUUGGCCCGGGUCGGCUGGCUGUGAUUGGCGGCGGCGGCCCCAACAGAUGACAGAGGAGACAAAGUGAUGGCUGCAGGUCGUCUGAGGUCCCACCCCGGCCACGUGCGGCUUCUGUGAUGACAGGUCCAGGAGGGUGGGGCUUUUUGCCUGACCAGCUACAACCCCAAAAUGACCAGAUCCAGCCGCCGGUGGGGAGCCAGAGCUCUGGCCAAAACUCAGUGCUGGAGUUCCUGAGGUCUGGCUGGUGUGAGGAACUUGAGCUUGAGCUUCCAUAAGGACUACUGAGAGUAGGCUGAGCAUACUGUGAAGAAAGAAGCUGUUGACCAUGAUGAUGUAUAUCUUAAAUCCCAGGGCUUGGGAGGAAGAGGCAAGCAGAUCUCUUGGAGUUCCAGACUAGUCUGGUCUACAUAAUGAACUCCAGGUCAGCUAAGGACACACACACACUGUUGCAGCAGAGUGGCACCUGCAGAGAUGACAGCAGAGCAGCCAGUUUUGACAUCCACAGAAGCAAU